rnacentral:rRNA from 1 species
CAUGCAAGUCGAACGGUAACAGGUCUUCGGAUGCUGACGAGUGGCGAACGGGUGAGUAAUACAUCGGAACGUGCCCAGUAAUGGGGGAUAGCUCGGCGAAAGCCGGAUUAAUACCGCAUACGCCCUGAGGGGGAAAGUGGGGGAUCGCAAGACCUCACGUUAUUGGAGCGGCCGAUGGCUGAUUAGCUAGUUGGUAGGGUAAAGGCCUACCAAGGCGACGAUCAGUAGCUGGUCUGAGAGGACGAUCAGCCACACUGGGACUGAGACACGGCCCAGACUCCUACGGGAGGCAGCAGUGGGGAAUUUUGGACAAUGGGGGAAACCCUGAUCCAGCAAUGCCGCGUGUGCGAAGAAGGCCUUCGGGUUGUAAAGCACUUUUGUCAGGGAAGAAAUCCUUUGGGCUAAUACCCUAGGGGGAUGACGGUACCUGAAGAAUAAGCACCGGCUAACUACGUGCCAGCAGCCGCGGUAAUACGUAGGGUGCAAGCGUUAAUCGGAAUUACUGGGCGUAAAGCGUGCGCAGGCGGUUGUGUAAGACAGGUGUGAAAUCCCCGGGCUUAACCUGGGAAUUGCAUUUGUGACUGCACGACUAGAGUGUGCCAGAGGGGGGUGGAAUUCCACGUGUAGCAGUGAAAUGCGUAGAUAUGUGGAGGAACACCAAUGGCGAAGGCAGCCCCCUGGGAUAACACUGACGCUCAUG